UUCCCUACACGACGCUCUUCCGAUCUUGGCACUGAAAGUCGAUGAAGGACGUGAUAAACUGCGAUAAGUUUCGGGGAGCUGUUUGUAGGCUUUGAUCCGGAAAUUUCCGAAUGGGAAAACCCAACUCUUUAAGAGUUACCUUGCACUGAAUACAUAGGUGUAAGGAGAUAACCUAGGGAACUGAAACAUCUAAGUACCUAGAGGAAAAGAAAUCAAUUGAGAUUCCGUUAGUAGUGGCGAGCGAACGCGGAACAGGCCAGUAACUUUUUUUGUACAACUAGAAUAACCUGGAAAGGUUAACCAUAGAGGGUGAUAGUCCCGUAUAGGUAAAAGCAAUUAAAGUUCUCGAGUAAGGCGGGACACGUGAAAUCCUGUUUGAAGAUAGGGGGACCACCCUCUAAGCCUAAAUACUCUUCAGUGACCGAUAGUGAACUAGUACCGUGAGGGAAAGGUGAAAAGAACCCCUAUUAGGGGAGUGAAAUAGAUCCUGAAACUGUAUGCUUACAAACUGUCGAAGCCCCAUGUGGGUGACGACGUACCUUUUGUAUAAUGGGUCAGUGACUUAAUUUAUGUAGCAAGCUUAAGCCGUUUAGGUGUAGGCGUAGCGAAAGCGAGUCUUAAUAGGGCGAUUAGUUGCAUGGAUUAGAACCCGAAACCGAGUGAUCUAGCUAUGAGCAGGUUGAAGGCAAGGUAAUACUUGCUGGAGGACCGAACCAGUUGACGUUGAAAAGUCUUUGGAUGACUUGUUGCUAGGGGUGAAAGGCCAAUCAAACUCGGAGAUAGCUGGUUUUCCGCGAAAACUAUUUAGGUAGUGCGUUGAGAUAUAGAUUUUGAGGGGUAGAGCACUAAAUAGGCUAGGGGGAAGAAAUUCUUACUAAACCUAAUAAAACUCCGAAUACUCAAAAUUGUUCCUCAGCAGACAGACGGUGAAUGCUAACGUCCAUCGUCGAGAGGGAAACAACCCAGACCACCAAUUAAGGUCCCCAAGUUAUGGUUAAGUGUGAAAGGAUGUGAAGACUCCAAAACAGCCGGGAGGUUGGCUUAGAAGCAGCCAUCCUUUAAAGAUAGCGUAACAGCUCACCGGUCUAAUUAAGAGACUUUGCGCCUAAGAUGUAACGGGGCUCAAACCAUACACCGAAAUUGUGGAUUGAUAGAAGUCUUCGGACUUUUAUUUCUGGUAGCGGAACGUUCUGUAAGCCUGUGAAGAGAGACCCGUGAGGGCUCUUGGAGGUAUCAGAAGUGCGAAUGCUGACAUAAGUAACGACAAACAGAGUGAAAGACUCUGUCGCCGAGAGUACAAGGGUUCCUGCGUAAAGUUAAUCUUCGCAGGGUUAGCCGGCCCCUAAGACGAGGACGAAAGUCGUAGUCGAUGGGAAUCAGGUAAAUAUUCCUGAGCCAGGUGGUAGUGACGGAUCAUGUAAAUUGUUAACUCUUAUUGGAUUGAGUUGGCUGUGAAGUGGUCCCAGGAAAUAGCUCCAUCAUAAGACCGUACCCCAAACGGACACACGUGUACCGGUAGAGUAUACCUAGGCGCUUGAGAGAAUGAUGUUGAAGGAACUCGGCAAAAUGCUUCCGUAACUUCGGGAUAAGGAAGACCCAAUAAUGGGCAACCAUAUUUGGGUGGCACAAGCCAGGGAGAAGCGACUGUUUAUCAAAAACACAGCACUCUGCUAACACGUAAGUGGAUGUAUAGGGUGUGACGCCUGCCCGGUGCUGGAAGGUUAAAGGGAGAUGUGCAAGCAUCAAACUGAAGCCCCAGUGAACGGCGGCCGUAACUAUAACGGUCCUAAGGUAGCGAAAUUCCUUGUCGGGU
rnacentral:rRNA from 1 species